rnacentral:lncRNA from 1 species
GGCAAAGCAAGGCAGAAGGGAAUAGCUGGUACGGGGUCAGUCAGGGCUGGGCACAGUUUGCUGGUGGGCUUCCCCUGGGGAUGUGUGAUGAUGAGGAAGGAAAGUGCAGCUGGAUCGUACCUGGUGCGAAUGUUGUGUUAAUGCAGUGCUGGUCAGGGGGAUUCGUGGUGCUGUGGUACACUGGAAGAUGAUGGAUAGGCAGAUAAGAGACAUGUACUGGUUUUUGGGGCAGAAACAGAGGAGGUAGAUCUCGCUGACUGCAGCAGAUUGUGCUUUCAACAAAUGUGAACAGCCUUUGGGUAAGAAAGCUGUGAAUAAUUUCUGUGUCUGUUUCUGCAUGCUGUGUCAGUUGCUCAUAGAGAUGAUUAACAUGCCUCAAUACUGUCACAUCUGAAGGUUAUCCUGUGAAGGUCCCCUCCAAAUCACCACUUCCCACACACGUAAGGCACAGGAAUUUCUCUGUGUGUAGGAGUCCAGCAGGCAUCCUGGCCAUAAGAGGUGACUGUGUCUUUCUGUUACUGUACGUGAGAUACACUCUUAUACCCCACAGAAGUGAAAAUGGAACGUGGUUUUUCUCCAGACAUCCAAAGGGAACAUUCUGCCUCAGCCGUGGCUCUGCUCUUUCCAUCCUUCAUAUGGAUUUUAUUUGCUUGCCCACUGGAGAAAAGGAAUAGCACAGGAAGGCAGCUGUCCUUUGCUUGUUCGUGUACAACCUGCCCUUGACAUUUCACAACCUCACAUCUUGCCAAACACAAAACUCCUGAAACAGAGUGGUUUGGGGUGGUGUGAGUGAUGCUCCUGGUUCUGCUUCCCAAACUGCUCCAAAGCUGCCACAGACAGCAUGGGGACCAAAGCUGAAAUUGGGAAGGUGAUGAGAGAAGCAAUACAACCAGAAUCCUGUCUCCAGGAUUUACUUUAUCCUGAAGUAAAGAAGGAAUCUUACAUCAUGGAUAUACUCAUUUUUCUGCAGAUGAUGAGUGAGUUAAUGCGUGAGCUGUUGUUGUUUAUACUUCCAGAGAUGCUAAAUUACAGAUGCAGAUGAGGGCUGUAUUUUAACACUUGGGAAACAGCUUUCUGAACCCUUUGGCAGGGCUGUUGAACUGAACACAAAGCUUUUAUCUCUCUGAAUCUCUCCAGGCAUAUUAAUCCUUCACUUAGAGGUUUGUCAGAUGAAAAGCUGCUUGAAUGGUUUGCUAUUUUUUUAAUUGUGUGUGAAUUGUAUUGGUGCUGUGUACGGAUCACAUAGGCCAGAGUCAGG